rnacentral:rRNA from 1 species
UACAGAGGUCUCAAGCGUUGUUCGGAUUCAUUGGGCGUAAAGGGUGCGUAGGCGGCGCGGGAAGUCCGUGGUGAAAGCCCGAGGCUCAACUUCGGGUCGGCCAUGGAUACUCCUGGGCUCGAGCACUGUAGAGGCAGGUGGAAUUCCGGGUGUAGCGGUGGAAUGCGUAGAGAUCCGGAAGAACACCGGUGGCGAAGGCGGCCUGCUGGGCAGUAGCUGACGCUGAGGCGCGACAGCGUGGGGAGCAAACAGG